rnacentral:misc_RNA from 1 species
CGGCGGUGCUGUUCAGAGAUUCAGAUUUAAGUACCUGUGAUUUUAGAAAUAAACAAAUGAAACAAAUAGUUUUCUUUGAUGUUUUUGUUUUAUUCAAGAAGCCUUUAUUUUGUAGCAAAUGUGAAUUUUUUGUUUAUGAUGGUGAAAUAUUGUGUUGUGGUGGAUUGCAUCAACAGUAAAGAAAAGAAGAAAAAAAGAAAUAAGUUGAAACUACAGAAAAAUUCUCUGUUUACCGUACCCAAAAAUAAUCAAAUUUUAAAGCAAUGGAGUGAAAUAUUGAAGCAAAAUUUGGAUUUCGAUCCAAAUUGUCGUAAAUUUAUAUGUGAUGAACAUUUUGAUGAAAAAUACAUAAUUAGAAAAGAUAUAAUAACAAUACCUGGUGAACAACCUUUUGUAUCUGAAAGACAAAGAAUUGUCUUAAAGCCAGAUGCUAUUCCAACAUUAGAUAAAAAAACUUCAGCAAGUGAAAAUGACAUCGAAAGUACUGUCUGCAAUAUAUGUUAAAGUAUGGCAGUUGCUGCAAGUGAGGAAUUUGUAGUUAAGAAGGAGCCAGUCGAUUUAAUGAGAGAAGAUGACAUUAUUGAGCCCAAUAUUAUUGGAAAAGCGGAGUGCAUAUAUGCAGAAUUAUCAGAAUCAUAUACAGAUUUUUCGAUAAAUGACCUCAUUAAGAAUUUAGAAACGCAUAAAUUACCAAAGAAAUGGGCCUGGGUUGAUGAUCACCUCGAUUCACCCUCAGUGAUAAUGUGUCAUUUGGAUUAUGAAUCAUAUGAUGUCAAAUUUCGUGUAAAAAUCGAUAAGGUUCUAAAUGUAGUUGUAACAAACGUAAAAAUUAGUAAAUCAAUAAAAAGUGACUUUGUUAUUUCUAGUAUGAAUAAAUUAUGGGAAUUUCUACAAAAAUUAGAGAGAUCUCAAAUGUGUAGUGGUAGUGGAUUUGAUUGUCAAAAGUCUUCAGAAACAUGCACAGUUUUUUUGAAAGCUGAUGAAAAGUAUAAAAUACAAGCAGCAAGAUAUAGAUGCAAAGCAUGUAGACGACUGAGAUCAAAAUUAUGCAAUAAAUUAUACCUACCAAAAAUGGAUGUUGAUGAACUUAAUAGAAAAUUAAAACUUGAACUUAAUGCUGUGAAGAAAAAGUGUACUCGCCUCAGUAAUAAGGCUUAUUUCUGUGAAAGUCGAUUGUAAAAAUUUCCCAUAGAUCCAAAGUUAUGGUAGAAAAUGUGACUGCCCGACGAGAGUUUGGUGCAUGCAGGCAUUUUUGGCGCUGCUAGAUAAUAAAACUCUGAAGCAAAUCAUCGAAGAAGAAAGAAAAAAAUGUGCUGAUGCUUCCGAAACUGUUAUAG